rnacentral:rRNA from 1 species
AUGGCCGCCUCUGCCGCCGCCGACGACAUUGCCGAUCAGCUUGCGUUCACCUCGCUUCCCCCCGACACACAGUUCCGCCCGUUCCAUCUGAGGCAGUACGGCUGGUUCUGGCUCCUGGAGGAGUUACUCAUGGCCGUUCCGGCCAUCCACUCGGUCUUCAUGCCGAGGCCCUCGGACGUCCUCCUUGCCAGCUUCCCCAAGUGCGGCACCACCUGGCUCAAGGCCCUCGCCUUCGCCACGCUCAACCGGGCCGAGCACCCGCCGCUACUCAAGUACUUGGAGAUGGCGUUCGGGCAGCCGAUGGGCGACAGUGGAGCAGACGGUGUCUUCGCGGCGCUCCCUUCGCCACGCGUGCUCGCCACGCACCUCCCCUGCUCUCUCCUGCCACGGCGCAUGACCGCGGAGGAGUCCGGCUGCCGGAUCGUGUACAUCUGCCGGGACCCAAAGGAUGCAUUCGUCUCCUCGUGGUUCUUCGCCAAGAAGGGGGCGGCCGCCAUUGCACGAACGCUAGCACGAGCCGACGAGGACACGGACAUGCAGCAACAGCCGCCGCCGCCGUACACAUUCGAGCAGUGGCGGAGCCAGGAAAUCCGGAUGAGGAGGGCCGAGGGGGGCCAGGGCCCUUGCUGGUCCCCCUGGCUCCGCCACUGCAUUCAAGGAGGCGUUCGAGCUGUUCUGCGAUGGCAUAUGCGUCAGCGGCCCGCAGUGGCGCCACGUGCUGGGCUACUAGGAGAUGAGCAGGAAGCGGCCGGAGAAGGUGCUCUUCCUCCGGUACGAGGAGAUGCUCCGGGACCCGUGAGCAACGUGAAGAAGCUGGCGGAGUUCAUGGGGUGCGCGUUCUCCGCUGAGGAAGAGGCGGCCGGGGUGGUGCAGGCCAUCGUCGAGCUGUGCAGCUUCCGGAGCUUGAAGAACAUGGAGGUGAACAAGAGUGGCAGCCAGGGUCCGGCAGCACACGAGUCCUUCUUCCGGAAGGGUGUGGUAGGGGACUGGAGCAACCACAUGACGCCGACGAUGGCGGAGCGGCUGGACAAGAUCGUCGAGGACGCACUGCAAGGCUCGGGGUUCAGUUUCGCCGUCGCAGGGUCGUCCUCGUGA